rnacentral:rRNA from 1 species
GUGGGGAAUCUUAGACAAUGGGCGCAAACCUGAUCUAGCCAUGCCGCGUGAGCGAUGAAGGCCUUAGGGUUGUAAAGCUCUUUCAGCUGGGAAGAUAAUGACGGUACCAGCAGAAGAAGCCCCGGCUAACUCCGUGCCAGCAGCCGCGGUAAUACGGAGGGGGCUAGCGUUGUUCGGAAUUACUGGGCGUAAAGCGCACGUAGGCGGAUCAGAAAGUCAGAGGUGAAAUCCCAGGGCUCAACCUUGGAACUGCCUUUGAAACUCCUGAUCUUGAGGUCGAGAGAGGUGAGUGGAAUUCCGAGUGUAGAGGUGAAAUUCGUAGAUAUUCGGAGGAACACCAGUGGCGAAGGCGGCUCACUGGCUCGAUACUGACGCUGAGGUGCGAAAGCGUGGGGAGCAAACAGGAUUAGAAACCCUGGUAGUCC